rnacentral:rRNA from 1 species
GCACAAGCAGCGGAGCGUGUGGUUAAUUCGAUGCUACACGAAGAACCUUACCAGGGUUUGACAUGCAAGUGGUAGGAAUCUGAAAAGGGACCGACCUUCGGGAGCUUGCACAGGUGCUGCAUGGCUGUCGUCAGCUCGUGUCGUGAGAUGUUCGGUUAAGUCCGCUAACGAGCGCAACCCUCACUGUGUGUUAUAUGUGUCACACGGGACUGCCGGUUUUAAGCCGGAGGAAGGUGGGGAUGACGUCAAGUCAGCAUGGCCUUUAUAUCCUGGGCUACACACACGCUACAAUGGUCGGUACAAUAGGUUGCCAAGCCGCGAGGCGGAGCCAAUCCACAAAGCCGGCCUCAGUUCAGAUUGUAGGCUGCAACUCGCCUGCAUGAAGAUGGAGUUGCUAGUAACCGCAGGUCAGCAAUACUGCGGUGAAUACGUUCCCGGGUCUU